rnacentral:rRNA from 1 species
CCCUAGAUGUUCUGGGCCGCACGCGCGCUACACUGAACAGUUCAACAAGUCUUAACCUUGGCCGAUAGGUCUGGGUAAUCUUUGAACGCUGUUCGUGAUUGGGAUAGACCUUUGCAAUUAUGGGUCUUCAACGAGGAAUUCCUAGUAAACGCAAGUCAUCAGCUUGCAUUGAUUACGUCCCUGCCCUUUGUACACACCGCCCGUCGCACCUACCGAUUGAAUGGUCCGGUGAAAUCUCGGGACGGCGGCUUGGUCGCUUGCGUCCGACUGCUGAAACUUGAUUAAACCAUAUCAUUUAGAGGAAGGUGAAGUCGUAACA